rnacentral:rRNA from 1 species
GAGAGGUUCGAUCCUGGCUCAGGAUGAACGCUGGCGGCGUGCUUAACACAUGCAAGUCGAACGAUUAACCCAUCUUCGGAUGGUUAUAAAGUGGCGAACGGGUGAGUAACACGUGACUAACCUGCCUUUCACAUUGGGAUAACUAAGGGAAACUGUAGCUAAUACCAAAUACUCCGGCACCUCCGCAUGGUAGUGCCGGGAAAAGCUCCGGCGGUGAAAGAUGGGGUCGCGGCCCAUUAGGUAGUUGGUGGGGUAACGGCCUACCAAGCCCGCGAUGGGUAGCCGGGUUGAGAGACUGAUCGGCCACAUUGGGACUGAGAUACGGCCCAGACUCCUACGGGAGGCAGCAGUGGGGAAUUUUGCGCAAUGGGGGCAACCCUGACGCAGCAACGCCGCGUGCGGGAUGACGGCCUUCGGGUUGUAAACCGCUUUCAGUAGGGAAGAACUCUGACGGUACCUACAGAAGAAGCUCCGGCUAAAUACGUGCCAGCCGCGGC